rnacentral:lncRNA from 1 species
AAGCGCAGGAAGACUGCAUAGACUUAAAGGUAUGCUUCCAUAAAACUCGUUCGACUUUAAGCGAAGAACCAGCAACUUUGUUAGGCUCGGGCCUAUCCAUGUCGGUAUAUUUCCAGAUAGUUUAUUGGCACCGAGGUCAACAACUCUUAAUUCUGUACAGUUCACCAAAGAAGGCAAUUCUCCGGAACGUUUGUUGUCCUGUAAGUGUAAGAACAUAGCAUACUUUAAGAAGCCUAAUGAGCAUGGAAUUUUCCCGGAGAAAUUGUUCUUAGCCAUGUUCAAAAAGACCAAACCUUGAAACUGCAUCCAACAACUAGGAAGUUCACCAGAUAGCUGAUUGUGAGAAAGGUCUAGAUCAAAGAAGUUUGGAGAUUCUGUUUCACAAAAGGAAGAUAAGGGUCCUGAAAACAUGUUUUUGGAGAGACGCAGGAUGGAUACAUUUGAAGAAAAUGGUGGAAGUGGGCCGUCCAAGAGAUUAGAUGACAAGUCAAAAGAAAAGAAGGUGGAGUUUUUUGUUGAUAGAUUUGGCAACUUUCCAUGGAUUUGGUUCAUCGAUAGGUUUAAAUCGAGUAAGCUGGAAGACAGAUCCCAAAACUUAUCAGGUAUAGAAUCCGAAAUCUCAGCAUUAACCAUGUCAAGUGAAGUAAGUUUUGUCUGAGUUUGAAUCCAUUUCGGAAAAGCAGGGCCAACCUUGCAAGAGGACAAUCCUAGUCUUAUGGUUUGAAAAGGCGGAUUCCAAUCCGAGCUCAAGUUGAAAGACAAAGGAUUAUGAGAAAAAUCCAAAUAUUUUAAACGGGAGAGAUUGGAGAAGUGCACUUCAGUUAUGACACCAUUCAAAGAAUUCCGAGAAAGAUCCAACGUUUCGAGGCUGGAAAGUUGGCUGAUACUCUCAUGUAGAGAUCCGCUGAGUUGAUUGUUGGAGAUAAAUAACUGCCUUAACAACGAAAGACCUGUAAAAUCAGGCAGUGAUCCGGUGAACUGGUUUUGAACUAGGCUCAAGUAUCUUAGCUGGGAGAGUGGCUGAAAAUUUUUUGGAAGAGACCCACUUACGUUGGUGACGUCAAUGUACAAAUCUUUCAAGGAUGAAAAUCUUGUAAUGUUAUCAGGAAAUGAACCCGAAAACGGGUUCCCACUCAAGAACAAGGACUCGAGGGUGUCUUGAGCACAAGACAAGUUUAUGACAAAGUCUUCAAGUCUGUCGGAAAGUUUGUUUUCCAGUAAACUCAACCACCGUAAACUGCAAAGGUUUCGAAACGAUUUCGGUAUCCCGCCUUUAAGUUCGUUAACCGAGAGAUCAAGAGACACGAGAGAAACCGUGUUUGCAAACACAUCUGGGAUGGGACCUUGCAACUGGCUAUCAGCUAAACCAAUGUAAACAAGGUUGGUGCUGACAUUGACCAUCCAAUAAAAUAUCGAAACAUUAAGAAAAUUAUUCGAGAGUUCAAGGACUUCAAGAGAGUUUGAAGAAUUGACAAAAGAAAGCGAGCUCUGUUUGAUAUUGGGAAGACUACACGAAGAUAACUGAAGCUCAACAAGUGAACGGAGUUUGCUUAUAGAUUCUGGCCAAUUUACAACCUCGGAAAAAUUAAGAUCCGACAUAUACAGGUACCUCAAGGAAGAAAGAUGAGAUAACCACUUGAGAUUUUCGAAUGUGACAUCGUUCUGUGCAAGAUCAAGAGUAUACAAACUAGAGAGAUUUCCGAGUUGGGGAGGAAUUGGUCCGCUAAGAUUGGCACCUGCUAGUUUGAGUUGCUCCAAUCGACUCAAAGAACCGAUGAACUUGGGAAUUUGUCCUUGGAAAUGAUUGAAACUGAGGUCCAAGUAAGUUAGAUAUGGCAAUUCAAGUAGAGAAGGAGCAAUCACACCACUUAGAGGAGUUUCAACACUAUAAAUACCAAAAGAGUUGUGAUAGAGAUCUAGGGUGACGACAUGACCUGUUUCGUUAUUGCAAGCGAUUCCUCUCCACUCGCAACAAUCUUUGCCGGUUUCCCAAGAGGCAAGAACGUUGGACUUGUCGAUGAGGCCUUGUUUGAACUGAAGCAGGGCGGUUUUUUCUGUUUGUAAGCACCCGAUGUUGGAACUGAUUCCAGCACCCAAACAGCAUUUGGCAGAUGUAAGAGCAAACAAGACAGAAUAUAUGAUUGUGAGCAACAUGGUAUGUGAAAUGGUGAAUUGAAUUGUACGUGGAUUUGGGAGUGAAAAGCAAUAGAUGUUUUAUGGAUUGAUCCUUUGUUGUCGUUAUGUGGACGCUGAGAGAGAAAAGGUUGUAAAAAGGAAGAUGGAGUCGUAGAAAAACAAAGCAAAGUGGAGGAAAAGGAGGGUAAGAGUAAGACCAUCCUCAAUUUUGUGUUAAAAACUAAAAUUUUCAACUCAAAAAAAUUAGGUUUUAACUCCAAAAUUUUGGCCUGACAUUAUUAAAGAAUGAAUUUAGCGUAUUUUUUUCUCUUAAAGUAACUUCUUUUUAACAAAUUAUGUAGAUUAUUCUAAUUUAAUUUUAUGAACAUUUAACCUAAAAAUAUUUUGAUUCCAAUUGAAAAAUUACUAAACCAACACCAUGAAUGUAAAAUCCCGUUCCUGGAUUUCACUGUUAUAAUCUACGUAUUUAUAUUAUUGAGAUUUUAUAUUAUUUCUCGAGAAAUUAUUUUAAUUUGUUUGAAUUUAGAUUUUAAUUAAACUAGUUACAAAGUUUGAAGUUUGGAAUUAAUUAUUUAAAAUCCGUAAACCUUUUGAGGUCACAAUUUAUAUUUUUGAAUAGAUCUCGAAACCCCAAAUGUAUAGGCGAAAGCUGUUUGUGAGUCCGGAUUAUAACGGUAUAGUUACAGACGUUUGAAGUUGUGUUACUAAACUAUAGAUUUUAGAAAUUAUUUAAACUCCUACUUUGAAGGAAAAAAACGAAUGAGGUAUGUGCUUUUGUGGCCAAUCAGAAGUAAAGGUUGGAGGGAGGACCAAUCAGGAAAAAAAAAAAAAAAAAGGGAGCAACCAAUCAGAAAAGAAGGGGAAAGGAGAGGAAAAGAAAGGGGGGGGUGGGGAGAAAACCGGGUCUCAUGACCCGUGCGACCUAACCGGUGGAAGCCAUGAAAUCUGGUGGCCUCCAAGCCAAUUUCCGACGAGUUGAAGCGCCUCACCACCUGGAAUUCAUUUCCCAUCAUCCCUUCUACUCAUUCCACCCCAAAUUGGAGGAAAAUUGGCCCCGAAAUGGUGAACACCUGCACGGAGUGCGACGAGCUCGUGGUGGCGAUCCACCAAAAUUUGAAUGUAACUGUGACCACCACCAAUAGACUCCCCUUAACCUCAUGAACAAAGCCCAUGCAUUGUUUGGGAAGUCAGAGCUGUUAUGGAGUCAAAUUGAGGACACCCAAAUUCUAGGGUUUCGCCAGGUUUAUGGCGUUUUAAGGCUUUUUUCGGCCAAAUUAGACUUGGCCACAGGCAUUGAUUUUACAUGUGACAGGUCUAGAUAGAUUACGAGAAACCGCUUGAUAUUUUAGAUUCCGUUGAGUGGUCUAGAAUCAUUGCUCUUGCUCAUUUCCAUAAAGUUAGUCUAGAACCCAAGAUUCGAGUGAAUGGGAAUUACCUAUACUAGACCUUGUGAAUAUAAAUUAAAUUUACCAUGUUUAUUACUUAUAAUCCAAUUAGGGAAUUAUAUUGGGUUCUUUAACUAGAUUCAUAAAUGAUAUGUUAUCGCAUUGUUUGAUUAACGUAGUUAAAUGCUAAGAUCAUGCAUCUUUAAUUCAUGAAUUGUUUAAUUUACAGGAUUGUGAAAUGACGUUGAAUAUGAUUGUUAUUAUUAUUAUAAUUAUUUUAGUUGAUCAAGGUAGCUUGAGAUUAAUAUUAUGCUUCGUUGUUAUUUAAUAUGUUACAUGCUGUGGAUGUAUCAUGUUGAAGAUAAAGUGAAUUGUGUGAUAAUUGUUCGAGUGUAAUGUAUGACGAACUACGAAUGGCUUGAUCCCUAUUGAGGGUACGUAGGCAGUCUAACGAGGAGGUUAGAUGCAGUCAUAAAGUAUACGAAAAAUCACUACGAAGUUCGAUUCUGGAGAUGUAAUUUUCCAUAUUCUGGUGGUGGAAUAAUUAAGUUUGAGAUACGAGUUUUGGUGACAUCACGUGUCGAUCCUGGGCGUAUGUCGGGAUCGAGAUGUGACAAUGAAACUCAUGGAACACUAUGAAAGAAUAUGAAACACAUAAAAGAAUUUUUUUUUUAAAUUAUUUUAGUUGUUGGAUUUAAAUUUGGAUCGUUAGAUUUGAUCAUAUUAGAUUUUAACUGUUGGAUUCGGUGAAUUCAUAAACAUAAAACUACAAAAAAAAUACACAUAUAUGGUGGGCCAGCCCACUAACUCGAGGGGAAUCCUAGGGUAAAUAUGCCCCAAAAAUGAGUUUUGGGUUAAAACUCAUAUUUGGCUCGAGGGUUAGAGCAAAUUGGGGUAGGUUUAGAAUAUAAAAUUUGAGUUUUAUUCCCAAAGGUUGGAGUAGGUCUAUGUGGAAAGGAGGAAAAGGUGGAAAGGAGGAAAAGUGGUAGAGAAAAUGAGGGAAAGUGGUAGAGAAAAGAGGAUGAGGUUCCUCUCCGAAUCCUCUUUAUGAUCUUCACAUCUCAUCUAUUUAUCAAACAUCGUGUGGUUAGAUAUCAUUACGUACUGUUUGUGUUUAAUUUUAAAUAAAAAAUUUCAAAAUAAUUUUUGGUUGCACGAUGUACGAUUAACAAAUAAGAUGUAAGAUCCUCACAAAGAGGAUCCAUAUGAGAUCCAAAUCUGAGAAAAGGGGAAUAGGAUCUUAUCCGGAUCCCUUUUGUGAAGAUCUCGGGAAUCACUUCAUAGUAUCCUUUUAUUUAUCAUCUUGCGGCUAGAAAUUAUUUUUGAAUUUUUUUUAUUUAAAAUUGAACACAAAUAAUAUCUGAUAAAAAUUAAUCACAUGACAAAAUUAUCCCUGAGAUCCUCCUCAUCCGAGAAAAUGUGGGAAAGUGGUAGGGAAAAGGUGGGAAAGGGUGGGUGGAGGUAAAAGGUGGAAAGGAGGUAAAGUGGUCGAGAAAAUGAGGGAAAGUGGUAGAGAAAAGGUGGAAAAAGGGAUUGGAAGAAGAAGAGAAAGGUGGUGGGGGCAUGGAAUGGAUGGUUGGAUUCUCUUUCCUUGUUUUUUUUCCCACUCAUUUUCUCAUUUCUUAUUUGAACGGUCGCGGUUAAGCCACGUCAACAUCUUGUAUUAAUUUUAUAUAUAAAGAGAAAAAUAAAAUAGAAAAUGUGAGAGUACGGAAUUGAAGGGGAUGGAAAGAGAAGGGAAGAGAAUCCUAGUCCACUCCGAGAAUGUAAGCACAUUUUACUGAACCUUGUAAAUAUUGUAUUCCAUUUAUAUUUUCUUACUGUUGAUUAUAUUUCAUAUAGCCUUCUCGAAAUCUUUUAUAAUACAGACCAUUAGAUAAGAUGAACUAGAGAAUUACAUGAAAUUGCACUUGGAAUAUUAAGCAGCUGGGACUAGUAAACCAUAAUAAAUUAAUAAUUGAACAUUCAGGCCAAAAAACAAGGGGAUGAACAUUGGUAUAUAAUGUGAUAGAAUUGCUCCAAAAUCUUCAUCAGUUGUCCAACUUCUACAAUCCGGAAAUCGAUAGCCGGGGGCAACUGUGGGACCACUAUUUGUAGGAUGAUGCCCCACGCGGCAUCUAAUAAGGUCCAACAGUCCGGAGGUGACCUUCCCUGUCCACAGGAGUCCCUUACACAAUGUACACACAUAUCACUAAUCCAAAUUCUACUGCAGGUUUAAGAAAAAUGGAUGAUUUCACCACUUCGGUACUCAGCACGGUGAAACCUGAUCAUGCUGCUGUAACUAUACAUAAUCUCUGACAUUCAUGCGACAACGGAUAAUGGUGUAACAACUCCAGCAGAGUCAGAAACCAAACCGUCCUUCGAUACUCCAGCACGGUGAAACCUGACCGUGCUGCAAUCUCAGUCAUCAUCUUCAUCAUCAAGUACCAUCCUUGACCUCCUUCUGCUUACACCACUCACUGGCAAUGUACCUACUUCAUCCUCUUAAUCUGCCAAAUCAGUGUCCAUUUCCAGACGUAGCAAAUCCUCCAAAAUUUUCACAGGUCCAACAUCUAAUGGAUUACCAUUGCUGGUGCCUGUGACUUUUGUUCUCUGCCAUUCAGACUCGCACGUUCGGCAGCAGCACCUUUGUCAACUCCAUUUUCCAAAACACUGCCGCUUUCUGUUCCCUGAAUCAAGACGGCUUCGGGGUUUUGAUCCAUGGACUUGGAAAGGGAUCGCCUAGUUUUCCUACAUCCAAAAGACAAUUUGAUUAGAAAAAUGGCUACCUUACAUACACAAUCAGAAUGCAAUGACUAUAGUUAUUCGAAUUCUUCUUUUUCGUUUUUUUCUCAGGGGGAGGUUUGAGGAUGGAGAGAGGGAAGAGAUUUACUUAAGAACAGAGCUUAGGAUUUCAUCAUCAGAAUCAUCUUCCAACGCUUCUCGCCCAGUAGUCUGUUCUAGCAACUCGUCGCUAUUAUCCUUCUUGUCCCUAGAAGUUCAAACAAAAAGUUGUCAGACAUAGGUAUUUACACAUCUAUGUAUGCAUGCGAGUGUAAAGAUGGAACCAAAUACACAUUCCUACAAGUUAAUUCGGAAUAUGGAAACCGAACUGAAUAAUGAAUUUAAUAACCUUAUAUUGUAAGGUUUACGUAAAGAUAUUGGAGUCUGACAUAUGCAGUAAAAACGCCAAAACAGUGAAAACUAAGAUGGACAUACUAAUCAUUGACAUUUACCUUUUCAUUCAUUAAUGAAAAUAGUGUUUCAUCAUCAGAGUCGUGCAUUUUGUUUGCAUUAGAGUCACUAUGAUCCUCAUCCUUCAGCAUGCCACGUGAAGGCCUCUUCUUCCGAGGAAUAUGCAAACCAAGCUGCUUAAGCUUACGAGAAACUUGAGGAGCUGUGAAUUUCCCAUCUCCAUCCAUCGCAUUUGCAAUCAUAUGGCUGCACUUCUUAUGGCCUUUAAAUCUGGGAAGAUCAAAGAAAGCAAAUUUUUCUUUAAAACAAUAUAAUAGUAAACUUCCAUUAUCUACUUUUCUUUGGUAAUCCUUCACCAUUUAUCAAGUGAGAAGAUGUCAAAUCUCAUAUUUCCACCAAGCCACCAAGUAAUACUCACUGCUCAUACAAAGCUCUGAUAUUAGCUUCCUGAUCUUCACUGAGGGCACGGACCCUUUUUCUUGCUCGCCUAUAAAAAUAUUAAGGUCAAAUUAAUUAACAGCUGAGCAGUGAAGCAACACAAACAAAACCAGCAUGCAUUACGAUUUGCCAUGAAAUUAAUGGCUAAUUGACAAAACACUCACAAAGGCUGGCUUUUUGAUUCAGAAUGAGUGUUAACUGCUCCCUCUACUCUUCCAUCUCCAUCAAUUUGACUAGGCCCAGUGGAACAGAUUCCUGAGCUUUCCGAAUUCUUUUCCUUCGUGCAACUUUCAGCCCUAGCUGUUUAAGCUUGUUAGAAAUUUGAGCUGAUGAAACUUUACCAUCAGGAUCAAGAGCUUCCGCAAUAAGAUGACUACAAUUCUGGUCAUCCUUGAAUCUAGAUUGACCAUAUUUGUUAGGAAAGAUUUCAGUAAAGCAGGAUGAAAAAAGUAGGUUACACUGCAAAAACAAUAUUGGCACAACUCAAAUUAUGCACACGUCAUGGCCAAUGCUUUUUAUAUUAUUAUGUUUCGGCUGAUAUCAGGUGUACUAUGCCGGGUUAAAGGCUCAAGAAAGAAUCUUAGAUCAAGGAACCAUACUUCUCAUACAGAUCCUUAAUUUUCAUCUCCAGUUCAGCUCCAAUAACAAGUCGCUUGUUUUCUCUAGAAACCCUCUCAGUUUCAUUCUCUAUGGACUUUCCCUCACUGCAACAGUCGAAUGCAUCAAGGUCUCAUUAAGAUGACAAUUUAUAAACAAUAUUAAUCAUUAAGUUGUAAGUAUAAAGGACGUACUUGUCAUAAUUAGCUUGCCCAUCAGUCUCAUUAUCCGAAAUAUAUGCAGUACCUCCCUCCGCUUUGCCAGACUUUUCUCCAUCACUGUAAGAAAUAAGAAGGCAUAUUCGUUAGCUCCUCUUGCAGUAUCUCAUCCAUGUUGUGCUAGGAUAGCACCAAACCCGUUGGAACCAACUCAAGCUAACCCACAAGAAAUUUAUCAAAUGAAAAUGCAAGAACAAAAUAUAAAAGACACCAAGAUUUAACGAGGUUCCUCAACAGUCAGUGUAAUUGGAGUACGUCCUCGGAGCAGUAGGAGCUCACCCAAUAAUCCACUAUCAACCAAAUGGGAGUUUACAAAGUGUUGGCAAUCUCACACCCAAAUAACCCAAUACACCUAAUAGCUCUCACACACCACAUAAACAAAUAGAGAAAGAAAUAUAAUGAAUAAUUUCUUCUCUAUACAUAUAACUCAAAGCUAUUACAACAACAACUACUUUGGUAGAUGAUUACUAACCAAAUAGAAGAGCACCUUCUUCUUCUUUUCUGCUCUUAAUUUUCUGCUCUCUGCAGCUCACUUUGCUCUCUCAAAGAUGGGCUACUAAAACAGAAAAAAUGGUGCAAACUUCCUUCCUCUCUCUUACCUCCGUAUGCACACAUUCAUCCAUUAUAAACACCCAAUAAACAAAACCAAAGUAAAGACAUAAUGAUUACUUUACAAACAUCAUCAUGACCUUCUUUUUUUCUUUUCAACAAACAUAAUCAUUUGUCUUUUUCUUUCUUUUGCCUUGUUUAAUAGCCGAAAGUUGUUUGGCCAUAAUUCAACAAUCUCCACUUUGGCCAAAUUCCGAAAACACCAUGAUAAGCCAACCAACACAAUCAACACAAAAAUCACUCCCAAACACUAGCAAGAGAACAACUCAUGUCGAGCCAAAUGCUCCAAAACUCCUACUGCUCAACGCAUUCUUUAUAUAGGCAUAAUGUGAGCCAAGUUCAAACAGUGAACAAACUUGGCUACACCAACAACCUUAGUCACAUAUCAGCGGGGUUGUCUUUAGUUGGAAUCUUUUGGAUAAUGAUUUCCCCUUCACCAACAAUUUCACGAACAAAGUGAUAACGCACAUCUAUGUGCUUGGUCCUUGCAUGAUGAACCUGAUACUUAGCCAAAUAAAUGGCACUCUGACUAUCACAAUGUACCUCCACCUGUUUCUGAUCGACCCCCAAAUCUCUAAUCAACCCAUGUAUCCAAAUGACCUCCUUUAUAGCUUCAUCAACUGCCAUAUAUUCAGCCUCUGUAGUAGACAAGGCAACAUACGACUGCAAAAUGGACCUUCAACAAACUGGUCCUUUAGCCAUAGUAAACACAUAGCCUGUAGUAGACUUCCUUCCAUCCAGAUCACCUGCAUAAUCUGAAUCAACAUAACCAACUGCAAAAUGACCAAUACCAGAGUCAUCCCUCUCAAAGCAUAAACCAACAUCUCGAGUACCAUGGAGAUACCUCAAUAUCCACUUAGCUGUUUGCCAAUGCUCUUUACCUGGAUUAUGCAUAUAUUGACUCACCAUACCAACUGCAUGAGCAAUAUCCGGUCUAGAGCAUACCAUUGCAUACAUCAAACUACCAACCAAAUUUGCAUAUGGUAUAUUUUUCAUUUGCAACUUCUCUUUAUCAGUUUUAGGACAUUGUAGAGAACUCAAUUUAAAAUGAGAAACCAAAGGGGGUACUAACUGGUUUGGUUGAAUCAUGAACUCUAAACUUCCGAAUCAACUUCUCAAGGUAUUGUCUUUGAUUCAAUCUGACCAAACCCCUCGCUCUAUCUCUAGUGAUCUCUAUCUUCUUCGCUUCACCAAGAUCCUUCAUCAAACUCAUUCUUCAUUUGCUUCUUCAAUUUCUCAAUCUCUUCAACAUUCUUUGAGGCAAUCAACAUAUCAUCAACAUAUAUCAACAAAUAAAUGAAAGACCCAUCUUGCAACUUCUUGAAGUACACACAAUGAUCAUAUUGACUUCUAGAAUAAUUUUGGCCUCUCAUAAAUUUAUCAAACCUCAAAUACCAUUGUCUUGGAGAUUGCUUCAAGCCAUAAAGUGAUUUCUUCAAUUUGCAAAACAAAUUCUCCUUCCCUUUCACUGUAUACCCAUCCGGUUGACACAUAUAGAUCUAUUCAUUCAAAUCACCAUGUAGGAAAGCCGUCUUCACAUCAAGUUGCACAAGCUCAAGAUCAUACUGUGCAACAAGAGCUAACAUAAUGCGAAUUGAGGAAUGCUUCACAACUGGAGAAAAGAUUUCAUUGUAGUCAAUGCCCUCCUUUUGUGUAUACCCUUUAGCAACUAAUAUUGCUUUGAAUCUCACAUUGCUUUUCUCAUCAGCAUCAUCCUUCUUGGCAUACACCCAUUUGCAACCGAUAGCUUUCUUGCCCUUAGGCAAUUUAGCUAACUCCCAAGUCUUGUUCUUCAAGAAAGAAUUCAUCUCAUCACCCAUGGCAUUGCACCACAUCUCCUUCUCCUCACUCUCAAUGGCUUCUUCGAAGUUGGAUGGAAUAUCAUCAGUAAUAAUAGGAAGAGCAAAAGCAACAUAGUCACUAUACCGAGCUGGCUUGGUAAUUUGCCUCUUUCUUCUGUUCUUGGCAAUAGACUCUUGAGGUGAAACUUGCUCUUCAACUUGAAUAGAAUCUUCAGGUUCAAAUUCUUCAACAUCCUCAUGGUCUCUAACUUCUUCACUUGUAGUGGCUUCAACAUCAGCGGAAAUAGGAUUUGAAGUACCAGAGGCAACUUUCUCAAGCUCCACCUGUUGGACAUCUUUCACAUUCUUCUCAGAGUCUUUGUACAUACUUUCUUCAUCAAAUGUCACAUCUCUGCUGAUUACAAGUUUUUUCAUCUCUGGGCACCACAACCUGUAACCUUUGACACCACUACUAAAACCAAGAAAGAUAGCCUUUUUGGCUCUAGGAUCAAGUUUAUUUUCAGUCACAUGAAAAUAAGCAGGUGAACCAAAAAUACAGAUAUAGUCAUAAUCAGAAGAAGGUUUUCCAGUCCAUACCUCCAUUGGUGUCUUACCCUGAACAACAGCUGAGGGUAACCGGUUGAUGAUGUGACAUGCAUAAUUAACUGUCUCUGCCCAAAAUGACUUGCUUAAACCCGACUGAGACAACAUACAUCUAACCUUCUCAAGCAAGGUUCAAUUCAAUCUUUCUGCAACUCCAUUUUAUUGUGGAGUUCCUCGAACAUUGAAAUGUCUCACAAUUCCUUCCUCUUUGCAAACUUUAAAGAAAUGAUAUGAUGUGUAUUCACCACCAUUACCCAAUCUCAAAAUCUUAAUCUUUCUCCGGGUCUGGUUCUCAAACAUUUUCUUCCAACCCAAGAAAAUGCUUAACACCUCACUCUUGUGCUUCAUAGUGUAGACCCAAGACCUUCUUGAAUAAUCAUCAACAAAGGUCACGAACCAAUGUCUACCACUCAAAGAGGGAGUCUUUGUAGGACCCCAAACAUCUGAAUGCACAUAAUCAAGAAUGCCCUUCGUCUGAUGUACAACAGUACCAAACUUCACUCUAGUUUGCUUCCCCAAGACACAAUGCUCGCAGAAAUCAAGCUUACAAGUCGUGGCACCUUUUAGAAGACCUUGUUUCACAAGCCCUUGUAGAGCUUUCUCACAGGCAUGGCCUAAUCUCAUAUGCCACAGUCUAGUAGUAUCAGAAUUGGAUGUGCCCAUAUUUUCUGAGACUACAGAUGCUUCACCUGUCACAGUGCUUCCUUGCAAUAAAUACAAAUGGCCACAUCGAGGAGCUUUCAUCACAACAAGUGCACCAUAAGUAACUUUCAAUGUCUGUCCAUCUGAAUGAAACCUGAAGCCCUUGGAUUCCAAAGUACCCAAAGAAAUAAGAUUUUUCUUCAAAUUCGGUACAUACCAAACACCUGUCAACUCUUUAACCAUGCCAUCAUGCAACUUCAAACGAACUGUACCAAUCCCUUUUGUUGUGCAAGGAUUGUCAUCUCCCAUGAACACAACACCACCAUCAAACUCUUUCAAGCUUGAAAACCAAUCCUUGUGAGGAGUCAUAUGAUGAGUACAACCCGUAUCCAACACCCACUUAGUAGCACAAUCAAAUGAUGAGGAAGUGGUUAAAGCAAAAUCAGAAAAAUUUGUUUCAACCUCAGCAACAUUAGCUUCAGAACUUUAUUUGCCUUUGGUCUUCAAUCUAGGACAAUCUUUCUUCCAAUGGCCCUUAUUACGACAAAAGGCACAUUCAUCCAUUUCCAAAGGUUUUCUACCUUUAGAGUUUCCUCUAGGUUGAGACUGUGAUUUUUUCCUACUAGAAGAUGAUCUUCUCUCCGAUGAUCUACCUCUAACAAAUAAAGCUUCAGAGGUACUAUCAUGAUUUUUAUCUCUAUGCCUCAUUUCAUAAUUCAUCAAGGCAUUUGACACAUCUUCAAAUUUCACAGUUUCUUUACCAUGCAUAAUAGUGGUAACAAAAUGCUCAUAAGAGUCUGGUAAGGAAUUCAACAAUAUUAAGGCCUUAUCUUCAUCCUUAAUAUCCUCAUCUAAAUUUAAUAAGUCGACAAUCAACUUAUUAAAAGCAUCAAGGUGUCUAAUCAUUUUUGUACCUUCUUUGUAUUGGAAGUGGUAGAGCUUUUUCUUCAAGUGUAGCCGGUCUCUGCACUCUUUGUCAUAUACUUGUCUUCCAAUUUUUGCCACAACACACUUGCUAAUGUCUCCCGUAUCACAAAAUACUUUUGAGUUUUUGCAAGGCACAAUCGAAUUGAAGAGCAAGCCCACAAAUUUAAUUUCUCCCAUUCUGGCUUCGACAUAACUUCUGGCUUCUCUCCCAAAGCGGCAAGUAGAUCUUGUUGAGCUAACACAUCUUUGACCUCACAUUGCCACAUCCCGAAGUUAUUUGUGCCAUCAAACUUUUCCACUUCGAACUUUACAUUUUACACCGUAGUUCUUGCAAACCCGGAGCUGCUUCCAAAAUGAUUCUCAUCUUGCCCGUCUGACAUCUUUGGCAACUAGACAGUACCCAAGAGCAACCAGUGCUCUGAUACCAAUUGUUGUGCUAGGAUAGCACCAAACCCGUUGGAACCAACUCAAGCUAACCCACAGGAAAUUUAUCAAAUGAAAAUGCAAGAACAAAAUAUAAAAGACACCAAGAUUUAACGAGGUUCCUCAACAGUUAGUGUAACUGGAGUACGUCCUCGGAGUAGUAGGAGCUCACCCAAUAAUCCACUAUCAACCAAAUGGGAGUUUACAAAGUGUUGGCAAUCUCACAACCCAAAUAACCCAAUACACCCAAUAGCUCUCACACACCACAUAAACAAAUAGAGAAAGAAAUAUAAUGAAUAAUUUCUUCUCUAUACAUAUAGCUCAAAGCUAUUACAACAAUAACUACUUUGGUGGAUGAUUACUAACCAAAUAGAAGAGCACCUUCUUCUUCUUUUUUGCUCUCAAUUUUAUGCUCUCUGCAGCUCACUUUGCUCUCUCAAAGAUGGGCUACUAAAACAGAAAAAAUGGUGCACACUUUCUUCCUCUCUCUUACCUCCAUAUGCACACAUUCAUCCAUUAUAAACACCCAAUAAACAAAACCAAAGUAAAGACAUAAUGAUUACUUUACAAACGUCAUCAUGACCUUUCUUUUUUCUUUUCAACAAACAUAAUCAUUUGUCUUUUUCUUUCUUUUGAUUUGUUUAAUAGCCGAAAGUUGUUUGGCCAUAAUUCAACAAUCCAUUCAGAAAAUUCCGUACUUUUUUUUGUCCCUUUGGUAAACUUGUUUCACAAAAUUCAUUCAUAUAUCACAAUUUCCCGCUUAAUAGAGGCAUCAGAAACAUGUCUUACUUCUCAUAUCCAAGGUCAUGAGAGAGCACGACAUCAGCUUCAUCUUCACCAAGUGCAUCUGCUAUGCUUCUACUUGUCCAUCCUUUGUCCAGUGAUUGACCAAUUUCAUCAUUCCCUAAACUGUUUGCCCAGUUUCUAGUUUCUUUCUUCAAAUGGCCAAGCUCUUGCAAUAAAUACUCAGCAUUAAUGUAAUGGCAUUCUUUGCGAGUUUUCCAGAAGAGAACUUCCACAAAAAGUAGGGGUUGAUUUUUCAUUUUUUAAAGCAUUUUUCUGACUAAACUUUUCAAAAAAUCGACAAUAUUUUCAUACACCUUGCAUGGACAUGACUUCUGCUCAGCUAGAAUGCCAUAGAAUGUAGUGAGGAGUGAUAACUGCAAAAGUUUUUCCAUGAAAACUUCAGAGGAGAAAUGAACUUGAAAUGGGUGCUUAAAAUUAUAUAAGGUUGAUACAUAAAGUUUGACCUGAUACAACAUCGGAGAGAGCCCCAGGUCAUCACUUAUCCUUCGCAGCAUGCUGACUACGUAGUGAUUUGUACUGGUCGAGUUACUCUUAUAAACUUAAGCAACCAACACAACUUCUGGAUGAUGCUGUGGCUUGCAAAAGCAGAAAUCAAAGUUGACACCUUAAAAUCAACUUCAUCAGUUGCAGCUACCUGCUCAUCAGCAGAAGAAUCGCCUGUGCUAUAACCAAGAUCACCAUUGGCAUAGUCAGAAUCUCUGCGAUCGAUCCGUGCCAGGCUGUCUUCAAUUUUUUCUGUCUCCAACAAAGAUAUUUUGCAUUCAUCAGGCUGAUCAGGGAUAAUGGUGUCUUCUUUCCCAUCAGAAAUUGUGUUUAGGCUUCUGUUCUCCGUCACACACACUCACAUCUGUUGAUUGCUCUUCAUUGGAGAUUGCCAAUCUCUAUUUGAAUGGUAGCAUGUUCUCCUAAGAGUUUAUUUUCUGUUUCCUUCUCAAUCGGUGUUUUCUUCUUCCUCACUUUCCUAGAUUUUUUAGAAACCUUAAUCAUAAAAGGAAAUUGGUUUUAGUAGUGACUCUUUUUGUUUUUCCAAAUUGUUUUAAGUAGAGAGACAAUAAUAUUUGCCCCCUUUCCCCCUUCCAAAAUUAUGAAUGCUACAUACCCUCAAAGUUCCCUCUGCUUGAAGGUUUAUGAGGAAUCUGCUGGCAACAACUUAAGCACCAAAUCUAGCAUGCGAAUCUGGUUAGUCAAUAACCUGCAUAGAGCUUUUUAGAUAUGGCAACUUAGUAUGUGUCCUUCUAAUGGGCCCCUAAAGUGCAAUUGGUCCCUUUAAAAACUAUGUCCUUCUAAUGGGCCAGCUGGGCUUGGGUUCCAAGGCCCAAAGGCCUAGGUCCGUUGGUUUUGGGUUUUUAAAUAAAUAAAUAAAGAAAGAAAAGGGUUGGGUUUGGGAUUCAACAAGUUUGGGCUCGGGGUUUCACGGGCCUAAGGUCCGAUUCUAAUUGGCCCAAAGGCCUAAAUGACAAGGGCUUGUAUUCGGCUGCCCUAAGGUUUGGGCUCGGAUGCAGCGGCCCAAAGGCCCUGGUUUGCUUGUUUUCGCCGGGGAUGGAAGCCGGACAACACGAAGGAGAAAGCCAUCCAGUCAGGAAGGACGGACAAAGUUUUGGAGUUCUUUGGAACGAAUGGGAAUGAUUUGUUGCCAAGGGGCGAGGAUUGGACUGCAUGGUUUGGUGGGUUUGUCUUUUCGUCUUUCUAUUUUGGUAUGAUGAAGCUACUGUCUUUCGUUGAUUUACCUUUUUCAUAUGUAAAGAAACCAAACUCUGAUCCUGAGUUUCGUAUAUACUUUUCAAAGGAAUGGUACGAGGCCUUGCGUUUAUCUGUGAGGAAUUUCUUUAGUGAGAUCUUCAAUGGUACUCAUAUCCUUCAAAAUUGUUUUUUAUUUACAUUUUUGUAUAUGUUGCGUCCAACUCCAUAGACUUUUGAUGUUAUCAGAAUUUCAUAGCUACCAUACGAAAACCAGUUUUGUUUGUACCAACCAUGCUCUAAUUUAUUUUGAGUUUGUAUAUUUCAAGUGAAAACGAGGUUAGUUUUGCAUUGGCUUUCAGAAUCUUGGUUCCAGCAGGAAGCCAUUUCCGCAAGAAUUGAUGGGGAAGGCAUGGUUGUGUGUGUGCAGUUUGUGGGGUUACCCGGUCAGGAAUGGGUUACUGAGGUAGGUAUGGAAGAGUUUUGACUUCUCUGUUUCCUCCCUUGAUUCAACAGGUAAUGCACUGUUUCCUCCCUUGAUCCUAUUAUGCUUUUGCUGCUGUAUUUUGAGUUUGAAGAAAAUGCCCUUAACUAAACCACGCAUGCCAGCCCUUUUGAAAAUCAGUUCAGAGAAGACUACUGUCAACCGUCUGAAAAAAGACAUCAAGCUACUCAAUCUCAAGCUGUCAGAACUUCAGGCUUUGUUGGAGGAAAAAGAUGGUGAAUUAUGCCAGUUAAGAAGGUAAAGUUUUUCAUUGUUUCAGCCCUUUAGAGUUGAGAGUGCCACGUUUUAUAUGUUGUAUAUACUUGGUGCUGGGGUUCGUCAGUAUUUUGAGACUAUCAUGUUUUUCUCUCUUCCUUAUUCCUUUAUUUCAUUUUUGAAAAUCAGUAAUUGUUCAUCAGUAGCCUAUGCAAGCACUGAACGAACCAGGAGUUCAUCAAGUGUAGUGCAUGAGCAAAAUCGUCUUAUAUCUAAAGAUACUCAGGAAACUUGCCCUCCUGAUACUUUUCAAAUAGGGGAAGCAGAGGUGGAUCCAGAUUGGGUUGUUGCUGGAAACAUGAGAAGUAGACCAGAAUUUAGCACAUCUAAGUCGGAUCCUAAUUUAAGUUCUCAAUCAAGUCCUCGCGUGAUAGUAUUCAGCAGUUCGAGGAUGGCCCUAUAAUGGUAGGCAACUUCUAUGUCUGAAUUAUUUUUCCUUCGUGUGGUGGGGAUGGUUCAGUAGCUGUUAUGGAGAUUAUCUGUUAAGUAACUAUGGAAUAUGACUGCAGAAAAUGGCAGGGAAAGCCAUGUACAAGACUUCCCUGAAGUUAAGGUUAAGGUUGACUUCCAGGUAAAUUUCUUCUAAGGCAUGAUUGGAUCUUGAUGCUAUUCAAUUCGUUGUGCUUUUGUAGUUUUCUUGCUCCCUUUUUUCUGGUACUUUUCUUCAGCUUCAGUUGUUUAUGUUUUAUUGGAGACUCCAUAACUUUCAGAUCAUCGUUGCUUUUAGGAGACAUUUUUGGGCCACACAAGUCCAAUAACCAGGUUGAUCUCUCACUCUUUUCUCCAUACGUGUGUCUGAGUGGCUUCGUUGUGUAUAGCAUUUCCUGAUUCUCGUGUUUCGAAGAUCCAGGUGAUGCACUGAUCUUUUGCCUUUGGAAGUGGCACUGUAGAAAUGAAUAGUGUUUCGAUAAUUACGUUUUUGCCCAUCACUGAUUACAAUCCAAUGUGGGCAUGGUUUAUUCUGAAGGGCAGUUUUGUCCUCUCCAAUUUGGGCGAGAUGGGGGGGUCAGCGGGCAGCUAUCAUUUGGUCCCUUUCGAUUAGGGUUUCGGGGAGGGCCUGCGAGAGACAGGGGGGGGGAGAGAGAGAGAGAGUCUGUAGGGUUUCGAAUGGGUUGGGUGGGUUAGAGACUUUCAUUUCCUGCUUUCUAAAGCUGCAGUGGGACUCGGUGAGCCCAUGCCGUCGGGAGAGUGAGAGCGAGCGAGCAGAGAGAGAAGAGAGACAGGGAGGGAGAGAGAUAGGGAUUUGGUGAGAGGAAGGCAUGCGGCUUGCAGGCAGACAGAGUCACAGGGGGUGUACGAUUGGAGGGAGAGGGAGAGGGCGCGAAAGAGAGAGUGGGAGAGGGAGGAGUAAGGAUCGCUCGCUGAGGGUUUCACAGUUGGGAGGCCAUGCUGAUGGAGAUGGAGAUAGAGAUAGGAGAGGGAGAGGGAGAGAGGGAGACGGAGACAGAGAGCGACAGAGAGAGAAGGAAAGGGAAGAGUGGGGAUCUCAGCGCCAUUGCUGCAGAUCCUUGAUCUUCUUCGAUCCCAUCUCCGUGUUCUUCUCAGCCUCUCACAGUCGCAGCAUCACUCGCCCACUCACUCACUCACUUACUCACUACAGGUACACCUCUUAAACUUUCGCUCACUCUCUCUCCACUGAAAUUUGAAGGUGAUUUUCCAACCCUAAAUUGAUAUAUUUCAUACCUUUAUUUUAUCUUGAUUUAUCUGGAAUUGAUAGCUGUUGAGGUAAUUAUUAAUCCAUACUUCCGAUUGUAAUUUUUCUUUUUUCUGUGUUCAGUAAGUUUGAUCAAAUGGGUUUCUUUGGACUUGCAUAAGUUGUGUAUAAUAUCGCUUCAAUCAUUUAUUGGCUUCCUUUUGUAUUAUUGAGUCUUGGGUUUUGCUGGAAAUUGUAUAAAUUUUGACCAAUUGCAUAAAUUAUUGAGCUUUUGUUUGGUAUUUUUAUGGCUACUGUGCUAAUUAGUUCAUACCCAAAAAGGAGCAGAUAAUUAACUGCUCUAAUCACUAAUUCCCCACUCUAAGAACUUGAGACCUUGGACUGAUAUUUAUUUCUGAGAUUUAUUAUUUAUUUUUGUAUAAAAUAUUUAAAGGUGUUAAACUUAUAGUGUAAUUAUAAAGUAUGGGUCUUUGAUUCCAUAUAAAUUGCUGUUUAUAUUUGUGAAUUCAAGAGGGGAGCAUUUACAUGUGGAGGCAACAAGGAGGGGUGGCUUUGAGAAGGUUGGGCUAUUUAUUUUAUCUGUAGUUCUUCAUUUCACUAAAUUAAAUAUGAAUUAUUAAUUUUUCAAUUUUUAAAAUGAAAGAUAAAAGAAAAUCAUAUGUACUUAAUUAUAUAUAUGUGUGUGUAUAGAUAGUUUCAGAGAAGAAAUGGAGGGAAGUGGGAGGUGUUUUCAUGUUCUCCCAACACAACAAGUGCUUCAUUUGUGCUAAGGAAACACUACUCAACCCUUCUCUGCCUUUACGAGCAGGUUCCUUCUCUCUCUCUGUAUUUCUUUGGUGCUUACGUACAUUAGUUCUAAUGAAUGUCUUUUCAUUAGGCUGAUGCUGAUGGCAACGGAACCGACCAUGAUGAGUUCAUCGCAGCAACAAUGCACUCGAACUGGAUGGAUAAACAUCUCUACACUACCUUCCAACACUUCGAUAAAAGGAGAGAUGUGAGAUUUUUGAAACCGUUUUCAUUUGGGUAAACUUAGUUUUCAUUUUUUGUGGUGUCUAUAGGGAGAUUAGUUUUCUGUCAAUUUUUUAUUGAGAUGUUUUUUUGGCAAUCUGUAGUUUUGGAUUUGUUUAUGUUUCGUGCUUUUGUGUAACUGAACUAGGGUUUAUUAAACUCAAUCACUUCCUUUUAUCCUCCUGCUUUGUUACGAUACAACUCAUGACGGUUUGUUUCUUUGAUUGUUAAUUUCAGAAGAGCAACUUUUUAUGGGACAAUGUGCCCUUUUUUUCUUAGAUAAACAGGCUUUUCACUAUCUUGCAUGCUUUGGCAACAAGGAUUAAUAAAACUGCACGUCUAUUAUAGAGAGAGAGAUAAAUGUAGGGAGAAGUUGGAAUUGGAGAGAGUGAGGGUGAGGGAGGGAUGACGUUGCUUUCCAAAGAUUUGUUUGGAAUUGUUUCUCCAGUUCUUUGUAUUUGUUUGGGAUUGUUUCUUUUUUACUGAAUUAUUUUGGUCCCUGCCGCUAAAAUCUGAUUCCUGCUAUUAAUUGCUGCUGAAAUAUGACUUUUGUUAUCAAUUUUUGACCUUUCAUAUUUAUGCUGCUUUGGGAUUCCAUUCGAAUCAAAUAAUGUAGUUAAUCUUGAUAUGAAUUCUCUCUGCAACAAUAUUAGGGACUUUAGUUUAAAUUAUCACUAAUUUGUUCUUGAUUUGGCAUUGAAUCUUGGUUAAUUUGGACUGCAGGUGGUUCUGAUAUAAAGGAGAAGCUGCAAGAGCUUAUGAUCUUGCUGCACUUAAGUACAACCGUUCUUUAACUCAUAUAAACUUUCCGGUAGGGUUCAAACUGUUAAGAGUUUUAUGAUUUUGUAAAAGCUUUAAGUAGCAGAAGCUUGGUCUAUUUGCAGUUGCAUUAUUACACUAUACAAAGCUAGCAGCAGCUUAACCCCAUUCACAAAUGCAUAUUUACUUUGUCCUUGGCGUCUACGCUUAUUGCUGUCACUUCUCCUUUGUACUCUUUCUCCUUUUUGAUGAAAUUACGGUCUGCCCUCAAUCUCCAACUUUCUUUUGCAGUUACACCCCUGUGCUCUCAUAGAGGGAAGCUCAUGGCUCACAGUGUCGCUUGGGCCAAUCUCGGCCUCACUCACCCUUCUGACAUCGAUGCCCCAAAGGUAUAUUUCUCUCAUCGCUUUCGGAAUCUAGUAUAUAUGUGUGUGUGUAUAUUUGCCAAUGGAAAUUUGUAAUUUUGAUUGUUCUCUGGUGUUGGUUUUGUGAAAAAUGUUGAAUGUGAAUGAUCAUUGUCUAAGGGGAACAUUAUAAUCCAAAGCUGUAACUUGAGUUUUGGAGUUAAACUCGAAAAAGCUUUAGUACUAAAUAUUAUCGUGUAUGAAUGUGAUUAUAAUCUAAAGCUGUAACUUGAGGUUUUGGAAUGAAACUCAAAAGAGCUUUAAUACUAGAUAUUAUUGUGUAUGAAUGUGAUACUUGAUCUUACUAUACACUGCAAAUAAGUGAUAAGAGAUGGUGAGCCCGUUUUAAGUGUCAUUUGUCUUCAGAAACUCAAAUUUUGACUCUUUUGUAUAUAUUGGUGGAAAUGCAGAAAUGGGUGCUCUUUGCCGCUGUCCUUAUUUUAUGUAUUCAGUUGCAUAGAGUCGACAUGACAUGCACAACGAUGGUCAGAUUGCCACCCUUGGUGGUAUUAUCUUUACAACACAUUCAAAUUGAGGAUUUAGAAAAUCUAAUAAUAAAACUCAAAUAUAUGUUCCAUGCUUUUUGUUUUCAUUUUGGGUGAAAAGGUUGGAGCUUUGGAUUGAGGUUUACCUUUAACCUAUAAUUUUGUGCGCAGGACAUCAUCUUGGGAGUCUUUAACAUAAUUAUUCUUCUAUUUCAUGGAUUCGAAAUGUGUUUAGUAUCUCAUUUAAUUGAUGUACCUUUGCUCAUUUAACUCAAAUUUAAUACGAUUUGCUCCUCCAAUUUCUCUGAAUUGCUAAUGGAAUUAUUUUCUUUGAAAAUUUUAGGAACUCUGGUUGUGGGAGGAAGAAGCCAGUUCCUUACUAUUUUUAGGUAAACUUAUAUGUGCCCUGAUUGCAUGUUCAAAGUCUAAUUAGUUAUAUAAAUUUUUUAUUUAUCUUUGCUAAGCUUUCGUACAUGGAUUUUAAAUAUGUGAUUGAAAUAUGGAUCAUAUUUUUGAAACUCUUUAUCUCAUUGUUUUUUGAGUAAUUUUUUGGAAGUGAGGUUGAAUACCAAUUGGUGGUCUCUGUCUGAGAUUUAGUUCUUUUUAAACACUCCUCAUAGGCCAUUAUGAUUGAUAGUUUAAUACGAUAGCAGAAAUGCAAAUUUGUGCUCCUUUAGUUUAUGUCUAUUAAGUCGCUUUUGGAAUUAACAAUUACCAUGCAUCCAAUUCUAGGACUUUAUAUUUACAUGUAGGGAGUCGGGUUUUUUGAUACAGAAUGUAAGUGACCCCACUUCACGUACUCUGAAAGUAUCUAAGCUUGGUAAUGAAUUUGACGGGCAUGUCUGAUGCCUUCUCAAACAUGAAUAGCCUGUGGGGUUUAAGAUUGAUAUCAAUUCCAAAUUAUGGAAUUGAUAUCAAAGGCAAAUUGUAAAAUUGAUAUCAAAGCCAAUAGUAAGUUUUUGGGGGCUUCUUGGUAUGAUAGUUAUGUCUGUUCUGUGUUUGUUUUCUUUCCGUCUGUUCUUAGAGCGUACUCCUUAUCCUUUGAUAUGUAAUUUGUGUUGGCUUAAAUGAAAGGUUUGUCUCUUCUCAAAAAUGAUGAAUCCGACAUGUUACUUUGUGGUCUUCUGAUUGCUCUUCUAUUUAAUAUCUUUUAAAUCCCACUGUGUGUUCAAAGUGCUGGAUGGGUUGUGCUUUUACCAACCCUAAUAAAAUUUUGUUUGAAUCAUGCUGUCUGAUAACUCUGUUUUUCUUUUCCUGUUUGUGGUUUUUAGUCUUUGUCAUUUAAUUGGUGUAGCUUUGCUAGGAUCUCUGUUCCGGCAGUGUGUGAUUAGUGCUAAUGGAAUUUCAGCACUGUUUCUGAACUAUUGUUCGAAUUGUUGUAUCUAAGUAUGCAUUAUACAUUCAAUUGAGCCAAUGAAGCAUGUGUGCCAACGAAUUUUGAAGAGUUCGGCUUGGUUUUCUCUCUUUGGUCUUUAAUAUUUAAGUGUGAGGCACCUGAUUGUUGACUAAUUGAGUCCCUUCUCUAAGUUUUUUAGUAGAUACUGUGUAAUUUGCUUUUAUGAGCACUUCUUUAUGCUGUCAAGUUCCCAAAAUGUACAAGGAGAUAUCAAGUUUAACAAGUCACGAACUGUGAUCAAUCCAAAUGCAGUGAAAUUAGGGAUUUUACACUUAAAAACUCAGUUAGCUUUAGACCAUAGGAUUAGCAUUUUGCACCUGUGAGUAUCAUUGACCUGCUCAUUUAAUUUUUUUGGAUAAGAAAUAAACUGUCAUUGAAGGGAGAAGAAAGUGUACAAAAUAAUGUUUCUGUAAGCUUGCACUCAUAUGCCUAAUAUUUUAAUUUCUUUUCUUGGCAUUACCUGUUGAAAUGGCUGCCUACACUACAAGACACAUAUUAUGUGUGAACUACAUGUUUUUUCUGUUUCUUAAGGAAAUAUAACUUUUUUGGAAACCAUAUCUUUCUAAUCAAAGACGUUCAGUUUCUUGCCACUCAUUGUACAAUGUGUUUAUAUGCCAGCUCACUUGAAUGUGUAUAAAAGCAAAACUGUUUUAUCUUAUUGAUCUCAUUCACUCAUGUAUCCCUCUAAUUGUUCAUAAUUGUGUUGAAUUUAUUCAACUUAAAUGUGUUUUAUUCAUCCGAUUACGCCUAAAACAGCUGGUUCCCGUAACAGGGUGUAAUUUCUAGUUGAAUCUAAAAGAACGAAAGUUGAGCCACUCGAAAUUUAUUGAAACUUAUAUGAUCGUUGUCGGAACCAUAUUACACACGGCUAGGACGCAACUUGGAUAGGAAUAUCUGACUCCGAGCCAAAACAUUCCAAAAUAUUUCGACCAAUUAGAAUCUGAAAUUCCGAAUCCGAAAAGAAAAAAAAUCAUAUGGGAAGAUCCGAUCCGAUUGAAAAUCAAGGACGCACAGCAUGACAGAGCAAUCUAUUAUACAUAAUUCCCUUUAGACAAACAAGAUAGUUGAUGACAAUUUAUAUCACCUUGCAUCAGAAUAAAAGAAAAAGAAGAAAACACUUCCGAUAUUACAUUGAAUCUAAAAGAACGAAAGUUGAGCCACUUGAAAUUUAAAUUUUAGAGUACGCUUCUGCCCCAACGAGAGCUACGGUAUUACUUCUCGUCGACUUUUUUUUAUUGAUGAUCCUUGUGGUUCCAUAUCUACAAAGUCAACAAAAAGUAUCUUAAAAUUAAAGGUAAAUAAAUAAAAAGCUUAAAAAUAAUGUUUCGGUAAUCUUCUACCGAAAUAUCUCAUUUAACUCAGAAAAUACAAACGAAUUUAACGGGUGGAGUUCGGAAGUACAUAACAAAUUAGGAGAGUAGGGCUUUACCGUUUACCUUUGAAAUCUCCCCUGCAGCUUUGCCUUCACAUGCAACGAUCUUCACAUAAUCCGAGCUUUUAUAUCAUCAAAGAACCGGAAAUAGGCAUACCUCCAAGACGUCUUAAGAACUAAAGUACCACAAACACUCCAGAAUCCUAUGAUAAAUCCAAGCGCCAAGCUAACAUAAAAUCCAAAGCUUAUGAGACCAUCAUCAUCUUGUUUGGUCUUCUCACUUCCACUGCCAUUAGGGACUGCAGGAUCUUCCGUUGUUACAGCUCCCGGGCAUUCUGGUGUGAGCGGUUGCCCGCAAAGUCCAAGAUUUCCCGUGAAUUGAGAAGCAUUAAAACUUUGAAGUUGAGUACUUAGGGGAAUUCUUCCUGAUAAGUUGUUGUAUGACAAGUCCAAGACACUAAGAUAAUGUAAGCUCGAAAAACUCGGAGGAAUGCUACCAGAUAUCUGGUUUCGUGACAAAUCAAGCGAUUCUAACAUCUCCAGCUGACCAAAGUUGUUAGGAAGCACCCCAGUAAAAUUGUUGCUUGACAGGUUCAGAGAAAUCAACUUCAACAAGCUUGUUACACUUUCUGGAAUGUCUCCGCUUAAUUUGUUGCUCGAAAUGUCAAUGCUUCUCAAAAGCUUAAGAUUUUCGCCAAACUCAAUCAAUAUUCCUUUCCAAACCAGUUGCACAAACCCAAAUACAGAGUCGUCCUCCACCUCGGGGGACAUCGAAGACAAAGCUGUUAUGUUAGGGAGGCAAUGGGGCAAGGCUCCGGAUAGAUUGUUCUUGGAGAAGUCCAAAACAUGAAGCGCAGGAAGACUGCAUAGACUUAAAGGUAUGUUUCCAUAAAACUCAUUCGACUUUAAUCGAAGAACCAGCAACUUUGUUAGGCUCGGGCCUAUCCAUGUCGGUAUCUUUCCAGAUAGCUUAUUGUCACCGAGGUCAAGAACUCUUAAUUCUGUACAGUUCUCCAAAGAAGGCAAUUCUCCCGAAAGUUUGUUAUCCUGUAAGCGUAACAAUACAACAUCUUUUAAGUAGCCUAAUGAGCUUGGAAUUUUC